CUUUAGGAAUUUUGCCAGUGUCUUAAGAUUAACUUGUAGGUCCCUGUUAAGAAGACUCGAUUUGAAGGUUCAACCUGAGAGACAACAAGCUCAUCAUGGCACCGAGAACAAAAACUCUGAAACAACUGUAUAUGAGGAUGUGCUCAACCCGUCCUAGAUACCAACCAGAUUACUUUGAUGUGUUUCUUGCUUUGUUGUAUGCCCCUAGUUGUUUCUAGGAUAAAGAUUCAGAUUCGAGGAUGAAUCUUUCUAAAGAGGGGAGGAUGACGUGAUAUCGGAUAGCUAAAAUUCUCAAUCAAAAGAGAAGUCCCAAGAUAAGUGGGAAUCUUGGGGGAAAUAGCGGGUCACUUGGUCGCGAACCUGUAGACUUGCCUAUACGAGAACCUGGAAAA
rnacentral:lncRNA from 1 species